GUGUACCACAUAUACUAAAAUUAAACAAUACUGAGAAGAUUGGCUUGGCCCUUGCCACAAGGAUGACACACAAAUUCAAGAAAAAUUCCACACUUUU
rnacentral:snRNA from 1 species